UCGCAGGCUUCCAGCUGCGCGGCGGAGCGACGUCACCCUGUGCCAGUGGUGGCUCGCGGCGGCGCCCCGCCCUCCCGAGGUUAGCUCCCCAGCCAAAGAGGGGGCGCGCUUGCGCGGUGGGUGGGGCCGCGAGACUUGGUACCUAGCCAGCGGGCGGAGCGCGGAGGGGGUUUCGCUUCGGGCUAAGGGACUGUAGUUGUGACAGCCAGGAAACCGAGAACGGAAUGCCAAUACUGCUUAGGCUUAGAGUUUGAAAGGCAUCUGAUUUCACUGCCAUGUCUUUGAACAGCAGUGCACAGUGCAGUCUUCUUCGUGGCUGAACAGGUAUCUUGUGAUCUUUAGGGAAUGUCUAUUAAUUCAUUAAACAAGUAUUUCUGUGUUUAUUGAAGGACGUCUUGUAUGCUAUACAUUUGCUAGGCACUGGGGAUACGCCCCUAACACAGCUAGACACGAUAGCUGCCCUCAUAGAAUUUUCAGUCUAACAAAGAAGAGGGAGAAAACCAACAAGUAAGCAAGCACAUAGAAUAGUAAUUAAUCAUGUCAAGGAAAGAAAUAGGCAUGGUGUGGACACUGGAGGAUAACUUCAGAUAAGAUUGUUAUAUGAGAACUUUAUAAGAUGGCAUUUAAACCAUCAGUCAUUCAGCCAUGGAACCAAUAAAAUGAUGAAUUGUUUUGGGCAGAGGGGACAGCAGACAAAGGUCUCUCGGUGAGACAGCCCGGCGUUUUGGAAGAACAGAAAGAAAGCCAAAGUGUCUCCAGCAUAUUGAGGGAGGGAAAGAACAGCAUGAUGUGAGAGAGAUGAGGCAGACAGGGGCUUGGAGUUGGCAUUACAUUUUAAAUUUAAUGGGCUUCUAUUGAGGCAUUCGAAAAAAAGAAGUGAAAGGGUCUGGGUUUAGACUUUACAUCACUUUGGUUAGUGUGCAAAGAACAGUUAAAAUAAGCUAUUGGGAAACUGAUUAGGAGAUGAUGACAGAUGAAAUUUAAGGUGGAAGAUGACUUUGAUUAAACUAUGACAAUAUCACUGAAGGGAGAGAAGAGCAGAGAGAUUAGAGAUUUUA
rnacentral:lncRNA from 10 species